rnacentral:rRNA from 1 species
UACGGAGGAUGCGAGCGUUAUCCGGAUUUAUUGGGUUUAAAGGGUGCGCAGGCGGCACGGCAAGCCGGCGGUCAAAUCGCGGGGCUCAACCCCGCCCAGCCGUCGGAACUGCCGGGCUAGAGUGGGCGAGAAGUGCGCGGAAUGCGUGGUGUAGCGGUGAAAUGCAUAGAUAUCACGCAGAACUCCGAUUGCGAAGGCAGCGCACGGGCGCCCUACUGACGCUCAGGCACGAAAGCGUGGGUAUCGAACAGG